rnacentral:rRNA from 1 species
GAAACAGUUGCUAAGACUGGAUAGGAAAUUAGAAGGCAUCUUUUAAUUUUUAAAAGACCUUUUUCGAAAGGUAUACUUAAAGAGGGGCUUGCGGCACAUUAGUUAGUUGGUAGGGUAAAAGCCUACCAAGACCAUGAUGUGUAGCUGGACUGAGAGGUUGAACAGCCACAUUGGGACUGAGACACGGCCCAAACUCCUACGGGAGGCAGCAGUAGGGAAUUUUCGGCAAUGGAGGAAACUCUGACCGAGCAACGCCGCGUGAACGAUGAAGUAUUUCGGUAUGUAAAGUUCUUUUAUUGGAGAAGAAAAAAUAGUGGAAAAACUAUCUUGACGAUAUUCAAUGAAUAAGCCCCGGCAAACUAUGUGCCAGCAGCCGCGGUAAUACAUAGGGGGCGAGCGUUAUCCGGAAUUAUUGGGCGUAAAGGGUGCGUAGGCGGUUUGGUAAGUCUAUAGUUUAAUUUCAGUGCUUAACACUGUUCUGCUAUAGAAACUAUCAGACUAGAGUGAGAUAGAGGCAAGUGGAAUUCCAUGUGUAGCGGUAAAAUGCGUAAAUAUAUGGAGGAACACCAGAGGCGUAGGCGGCUUGCUGGGUCUUUACUGACGCUGAGGCACGAAAGCGUGGGGAGCAAACAGGAUUAGAUACCCUGGUAGUCCACGCCGUAAACGAUGAGUACUAAGUGUCGGGGAAACUCGGUACUGAAGUUAACACAUUAAGUACUCCGCCUGAGUAGUACGUACGCAAGUAUGAAACUUAAAGGAAUUGACGGGACUCCGCACAAGCGGUGGAUCAUGUUGUUUAAUUCGAAGAUACACGAAAAACCUUACCAGGUCUUGACAUACUCUGCAAAGCUAUAGCAAUAUAGCGGAGGUUAUCAGGGAUACAGGUGGUGCAUGGUUGUCGUCAGCUCGUGUCGUGAGAUGUUAGGUUAAGUCCUAAAACGAGCGCAACCCUUGUCACUAGUUGCCAGCAUGUUAUGAUGGGCACUUUAGUGAGACUGCCAAUGAAAAAUUGGAGGAAGGUGAGGAUCACGUCAAAUCAUCAUGCCCCUUAUGAUCUGGGCUACAAACGUGAUACAAUGGCUGUUACAAAGAGUAGCUAAAACGCGAGUUUAUAGCCAAUCUCAUAAAAGCAGUCUCAGUUCGGAUUGAAGUCUGCAACUCGACUUCAUGAAGUUGGAAUCGCUAGUAAUCGCGAAUCAGCAUGUCGCGGUGAAUACGUUCUCGGGGUUUGUACACACCGCCCGUCAAACCACGAAAGUUGGUAAUACUCGAAAACGGUAGCCUAACUUCUUCGGAAGAGGGAACCGUCUAAGGUAGGAUCGAUGAUUGGGGUUAAGUCGUAACAAGGUAUCCCUACCGGAAGGU